rnacentral:rRNA from 1 species
GUGGGGAAUCUUCCGCAAUGGACGAAAGUCUGACGGAGCAACGCCGCGUGAGUGAUGAAGGUCUUCGGAUUGUAAAGCUCUGUUAAUCGGGACGAAAGAGCCUAGUGUGAAUAAUGCUAGGAAGUGACGGUACCGGAAUAGAAAGCCACGGCUAACUACGUGCCAGCAGCCGCGGUAAUACGUAGGUGGCAAGCGUUGUCCGGAAUUAUUGGGCGUAAAGCGCGCGCAGGCGGAUCUGCCAGUCUGUCUUAAAAGUUCGGGGCUUAACCCCGUGAUGGGAUUGAAACUACAGAUCUAGAGUAACGGAGAAGAAAGUGGAAUUCCUAGUGUAGCGGUGAAAUGCGUAGAUAUUAGGAAGAACACCAGGGGCGAAGGCGACUUUCUGGACGACAACUGACGCUGAGGCGCGAAAGCCAGGGGAGCAAACGGGAUUAGAAACCCGAGUAGUCC